rnacentral:sRNA from 1 species
UGUUGAUGCAGAUACGAUGAAUCGGUCGC